rnacentral:rRNA from 1 species
AUUGAACGCUAGCGGGAUGCUUUACACAUGCAAGUCGAACGAGUGGCGGACGGGUGAGUAAUAUAUCGGAACGUGCCCAGUAGCGGGGGAUAACUACUCGAAAGAGUGGCUAAUACCGAUUACUAUUGGAGCGGCCGAUUUCGGAUUAGCUAGUGGGUGGGGGAAAGGGUGACCAAGGCAAAGAUCCGUAGCUGGUUUGAGAGGACGACCAGCCACACUGGAACUGAGACACGGCCCAGACGCCUACGGGAGGCAGCAGUGGGGAAUUUUGGUCAAUGGGGGAAAGCCUGAUCCAGCCAUCCCGCGUGUAUGAGAAGGCCUUCGGGUUGUAAAGUACUUUUGGCAGAGAAGCGGUAUCUGCAGAAUAAGCACCGGCUAACUACGUGCCAGCAGCCGCGGUAAUUC